UACCAGCACCCCGAGUGGUCGGGACGAUUAUUGGGCCUAAAGCAUCCGUAGCCGGUUCUACAAGUCUUCCGUUAAAUCCACCUGCUUAACAGAUGGGCUGCGGAGGAUACUAUGGAGCUAGGAGGCGGGAGAGGCAAGCGGUACUUUAUGGGUAGGGGUAAAAUCCGUUGAUCCAUAGAAGACCACCAGUGGCGAAGGCGGCUUGCCAGAACGCGCUCGACGGUGAGGGAUGAAAGCUGGGGGAGCAAACCGG
rnacentral:rRNA from 1 species